UUUAUAGAUAUGCAAUACACAGAGAGCAAUUGGCCUGCAAUUUGAAACCUGACUCAGAACAAUAGUGUUUUUUUGUUGUUAUACCACAAAGACUUCAACCUUUACAGCCUAUUUACAAGAAAAUCUAUACAAGAGGGGAAUGGAGAGAAGUAGAAACAACAAACAAGGAAAUGGAACAGAUAUAAACUUACAAUCAUGUAGAAAGGAGAUGCAGCCAAGGCAAGAGGAAUGGCAACGGAGGUGACCUUGUCCAUUGGUCCUUUCAA
rnacentral:lncRNA from 1 species